UACGUAGGGUGCGAGCGUUAAUCGGAAUUACUGGGCGUAAAGCGUGCGCAGGCGGUUUGUUAAGACAGGUGUGAAAUCCCCGGGCUCAACCUGGGAAUGGCGCUUGUAACUGGCAGGCUAGAGUGUGUCAGAGGGAGGUAGAAUUCCACGUGUAGCAGUGAAAUGUGUAGAGAUGUGGAGGAAUACCGAUGGCGAAGGCAGCCUCCUGGGAUAACACUGACGCUCAGGCACGAAAGCGUGGGGAGCAAACAGG
rnacentral:rRNA from 1 species